AUUGAACGCUGGCGGCAGGCCUAACACAUGCAAGUCGAGCGGAUGAAGGGAGCUUGCUCCUGGAUUCUGCGGCGGACGGGUUUGUAAUGCCUAGGAAUCUGCCUGGUAGUGGGGGAUAACGUCCGGAAACGGGCGCUAAUCCCGCAUACGUCCUGAGGGAGAAAGUGGGGGCUCUUCGGACCUCACGCUCUCAGAUGAGCCUAGGUCGGAUUAGCUAGUUGGUGGGGUAAAGGCCUACCAAGGCGACGAUCCGUAACUGGUCUGAGAGGAUGAUCAGUCACACUGGAACUGAGACACGGUCCAGACUCCUACGGGAGGCAGCAGUGGGGAAUAUUGGACAAUGGGCGAAAGCCUGAUCCAGCCAUGCCGCGUGUGUGAAGAAGGUCUUCGGGUUGUAAAGCACUUUUAGUUGGAAGGAAGAGCAGUAAGUUAAUACCUUGCUGUUUUGACGGUACCGAAAGAAUAAGCACCGGCUAACUUCGUG
rnacentral:rRNA from 1 species